UUGAACGCUGGCGGCAGGCCUAACACAUGCAAGUCGAGCGGCAGCGCAGGGCAACCUGGCGGCGAGCGGCGGACGGGUGAGUAACGCGUAGGAAUCUACCCAGUAGCGGGGGAUAGCCCGGGGAAACUCGGAUUAAUACCGCAUACGCCCUAAGGGGGAAAGCAGGGGAUCGUAAGACUUUGCACUAUUGGAAGAGCCUGCGUUGGAUUAGCUAGUUGGUAGGGUAAAGGCCUACCAAGGCGACGAUCCAUAACUGGUCUGAGAGGAUGAUCAGUCACACCGGAACUGAGACACGGUCCGGACUCCUACGGGAGGCAGCAGUGGGGAAUAUUGGACAAUGGGGGCAACCCUGAUCCAGCCAUGCCGCGUGUGUGAAGAAGGCCUUCGGGUUGUAAAGCACUUUAAGUGGGGAGAAAGGUUCGGCAGCUAAUACCUGCCGGAAGUGAUGUUACCCACAGAAUAAGCACCGGCUAACUCUGUGCCAGCCGCCGCGGUAA
rnacentral:rRNA from 1 species